GAAGAGCUCCUCCUAGAGACCCUUGCUGAGAGAAAGGUUUGGGCCUGGAAGCCAGAACCGGAAGGCUGAGUUUCAGCUCAGAUAAGUCAGGAAUUCAGGAUCAGGCCUUCAGUAUGGGAAGCGUGGAGAGCUGCCAGCAUAAGCAAGGUGCAUGAAUGGGAUUGUGGACAAAUGAAUUCAUCUGCACAACAAUGAAUACAGAGUUACGAACACUGACCGGUCAACCACACACCUCAUUUGGAACCGGAAGUACGCAAUCAGGCAGCAC